rnacentral:rRNA from 1 species
CCAACGGGAGGCUGCAGUGGGGAAUAUUGGACAAUGGGCGAAAGCCUGAUCCAGCCAUGCCGCGUGUGUGAAGAAGGCCUUCGGGUUGUAAAGCACUUUCAGUGGGGAAGAAAGCCUUGGGGCUAAUACCCUCGAGGAAGGACAUCACCCACAGAAGAAGCACCGGCUAACUCCGUGCCAGCAGCCGCGGUAAUACGGAGGGUGCGAGCGUUAAUCGGAAUUACUGGGCGUAAAGCGCGCGUAGGCGGUCUGAUAAGCCGGUUGUGAAAGCCCCGGGCUCAACCUGGGAACGGCAUCCGGAACUGUCAGGCUAGAGUGCAGGAGAGGAAGGUAGAAUUCCCGGUGUAGCGGUGAAAUGCGUAGAGAUCGGGAGGAAUACCAGUGGCGAAGGCGGCCUUCUGGACUGACACUGACGCUGAGGUGCGAAAGCGUGGGUAGCAAACAGGAUUAGAUACCCCAGUAGUC